ensembl:lncRNA
AUGGCCCCAAUUCCUGGCUCCCAGAAGCCAUCCCAGUCCUCUGAACCCUCCAAACAAGUUCAGUGUCCUGGCUCCCAAAAACCUGUUCAAGGCUCUAGCUCCCCAAAGUUAGCUCAGAUAACCUGCUCCCAGAGAAUGGUACAGCCUUCUGAGCCCCCCAAACAGCCUCAGGGUUCUUGUCCUCAGAAGCCAGCCCAAACUUCUGACUCCCCAAAACAGUCUCCAUCCUCUGGCCCCCAGGAGCCAGCCCUGCCCUUGGGGUCCUCAAAACAGAGCCAGCCUUCUGAUUCCCCUAAACAGGCUCAGUGCUCUGGUCCUCAUAAUCUGGUUGAGUCUUCUGAACCCCGACAAAAGGCUCAAUUUUAUGACCCUCAAAAGUCAGUUCAGCCUUCUGACUCCCCAAAAGAGGCUCAGUUCUCUAGCCUCCAGAAGUCGGCUCAGACUUCUGACCUCCCAAAACAGGCCCAGUGCUCUAACCCUCAUAAAUUGGAUAAGACCCUAGACCCCCAUAAAUUAGCACAGUCAGCUGAACUGCACUCUUCCCCACCAAAGUUGUCCCAGAUGACUAACUCCCCAAAACAAGCUCAAUUAUCUGGCCCCCAGAAGUUAAUCCAGGCCUAUGAUCCUCCAAAACAGGUUCAGUUUUCUGGCUUGCUGAAACCAGCUCAAUCUUUGGAUCCCCCAAAACAGAUUCAAUUCUUGGACCCCCAGAAGUCAGCCCAGUCUUCUGACCCUCCGAAACAGGCCCAGAACUCUGCUCCCCAGAAGCUGGCUCAGCUCUCUGACCUCCCAAAACAGGCUCAGUUUUCUGGCCCCCAAAAGGUGGCUCAGCCCUCUGAUCUCUCAAAACAGGUUCGGUUCUCUGAUCUGGUGAAACCUGCUCAACUUUCUGAUCCCCCAAAACAGGCUCAAUUCUCUAGCCCCCAAAAGCCAGUCCAGUCUGAUGACUUCCCCAAACAGGUUCAAUUCUCUUGCCCCCAGAAAUUAGCACAGCCAUCUGACCACCCUAAGCAGACCCAGCACUCUGUGUCUCCAAAGCUGGCCCAGAUCACUGACCCCUCAAAACAGGCUCAGUUAUCCGGUCGUCAGAAGCCAGCCCAGACUUCUGCCUCUCUGACACAGCACCAGCACUGUGUCUCCCAGAAGUUGGCUCAGCCUUUGGACCCCCCAAAACAGGUUCAAUUUUCUGACCCCUCAAAGCAUGCUCAGUGCCCUGGCUCUCAGAAGUCAGCCCAGUUUUCUGACCUUCCAAAACAGGCCCAGCAUUCUGCUCCCCAGAAGUUGGCUCAACCCUAUGACCCCCCAAUACAGGUUCAAUUCUCUAGCCCCCAGAAGCCAGCCCUGCUCUCUGACCCCUCAAAACAUGCUCAGUACCCUGGCUCUCAGAAGUCAGCCCAGUGUUCUGACCCAAAACAGGAUCAGGAUUCUGCUCCCCAGAAGUUGUCUCAGCCCUCUGACCCCCCAAUACAGGUUCAAUUCUCUGGCCCCCGGAAGUUGGCCCAGCCCUCUGACCCCCUAUUACAGGCUCAAUUCCCUGGCGUUCAGAAGUCUGCUCAGCCCUCUGGCCCCUCAAAACAGGUUCAAUUCUCUGGUCCCCAGAAGCCAGCCUUGCUCUCUGACCCCCCAAAACAUGCUCAUUGCUCUGACCCUCAGAAGUCAGCCCAGUCUUCUGACCCAAAACAAGAUCAGCAUUCUACCCUCCAGAAAGUGGCUCAGCCUUCUGAUCUCCCCAAACAAACUGAAUUUUCUGCUCCCCAGAAGUCAGCUCAGCCCUCUGGCCCCCCAAAACAGGCUCAAUUCUCUGGCUCCCAGAAGCCAUCCCAGCCCUCUGACUCCCUAAAACAUGCUCAUUGCUCUGGCCUUCAGAAGUUAGCCCAGCCUUCUGACCUCAAACAGGAUCAGAAAUUGGCUCCGCUCUCUGAUCCCCCCAAACAGGCUCAGAUUGCUAUCCCCCAGAAGCCAGCUCAGCCCUCUGGCCCCCUAAAACAGGUUCAGUUCUCUAGCCCCCCAAAGCUAGCCCAGCUCUCUGACCCCACAAAACAGGUUCAGUGCACUGGCCUUGAGAGGCUAGUUGAUAGCCCAGACUCCCAGAAAUCAGCACGGGCAUCUGACCCCCCAAAGCAAGUUCAGGCUUCUAAUUCCCCAAAGUUAGCUGUGGCCAUCCACUCCCAGAUGCCAGCUCCCAAACAGGCUCAGAGUUCUGGACCCCAGAAGCCAGCCCAAAUUGUCAGCCCUUCGAAGCUGGCUCAAGGCCCCAGCCCUCAGCUGCAGGCCUCCAGACAAGGCCCCUCCAUCCCGGGCCCCAGACCCCGACCCAGUUCCCCACACAAUCCCAAGGUCCCUAUCCCCCUAACCCGAGGUCCUCUCCCUUAUCCUCCUUCAGGGCCCCCCAAGCCCAGCUCUGGGAUCCAGGGGGCCACUACUACUCCUCAGGGGUCUUUUCCUGGUCAGGGUGGGUUGUCACAGACCCCUCCCCAAGGUGGUUCUAUUCCUCUUACCCAGAGUGCCUGGGUCCCAGGGAGCUGGGCCCAGGGCCCAGGAGGAGAUAUCGGAAUCAGGUGGAGCCGGGGGGGCCAGAUGGAAACAGGGGGUUCAGUUUCCUCUGGCUCUGGCCUCUGCUGA